CUUCAUGACAGCUUAUUUAUUUGUAUUUAUCUAUAUAAAAUUGAUUUGACACCCACCUCUUAACCAAUGCCUCUGAGAGUCCAGAUGCACAAUUUCACAACACGUCCUCUGAAUUUUAUCACCGCAUUAAGAUGGCUGUUGCAGUCUUCCAAAUUGGUGUGGUAGGAAAGUAUGGGGAACUGUCAUUCCUAAAAUUCUGAGUUUGGAAAAGACUCGGGAUUACCCGGGGCAGAUAAUGAAGAACCGAGCCAGGAAUUCUUGCAAGUCCAGUCCCGCCAUAUCUGGAGAACGUUACUUUGGAAAGAUUGUGAAAUUCCCUUGUUUGGUGGAAUGUCGAUUCUUUUUCUUCAGCGAAUAGCUUGGAGUGCCAUAAGUGCUUAAUUAACGAAGGGAACUGCUCACAGGCUCCAGUGGAAGUUUGCAGGGCCAACCAAGACGCCUGUUUCACAGUGAUCAAGAAGUACGAUGGAUUGAGUGCAGAUACCGCAAAGCAAGGCUGUGGAUCUUCAAAUAAUUGCCGAAGGUACCCCAUGGGCCUGAUGGGUUCCUUGUUCCGAACAAUGUGGUGUUGUUCUUCAAAUCUUUGCCAACCCAUCCAUUUGUCUGUCAACCGAGAUGGAUUGCAAAAUGGGCUGGAGUGCCAAGUGAUGGGCACGCCCAAACCCGAACUGUGGCCUGACGGCCCCUUUGCAGCAAUGCUACGGGAGUGCAGAUCGGUGCGUGCAAAUUUCCCAGCGUUUCCUCCCAGGAGAAGAGCUAGAACCCAUCAUAAAGGGAUGUGGAAAUAA
rnacentral:lncRNA from 1 species